GAACCAAUAAGAAGCUUGCUUUUUGUUGGUUAGCGGCGGACGGGUGAGUAACACGUGGGUAACCUGCCUGUAAGAUCGGGAUAACUCCGGGAAACCGGUGCUAAUACCGGAUAGAUUAUCUUUCCGCUUGGAGAGAUAAGGAAAGAUGGCUAUUGCCAUCACUUACAGAUGGGCCCGCGGCGCAUUAGCUAGUUGGUGAGGUAACGGCUCACCAAGGCGACGAUGCGUAGCCGACCUGAGAGGGUGAUCGGCCACACUGGGACUGAGACACGGCCCAGACUCCUACGGGAGGCAGCAGUAGGGAAUCUUCCGCAAUGGACGAAAGUCUGACGGGGCAACGCCGCGUGAGUGAAGAAGGUCUUCGGAUCGUAAAGCUCUGUUGUUAGGGAAGAGCAAGUAUCGGAGGAAAUGCCGGUACCUUGACGGUACCUGACGAGAAAGCCACGGCUAACUACGUGCCAGCAGCCGCGGUAAUACGUAGGUGGCAAGCGUUGUCCGGAAUUAUUGGGCGUAAAGCGCGCGCAGGCGGUCCUUUAAGUCUGAUGUGAAAUCUUGCGGCUCAACCGCAAGCGGUCAUUGGAAACUGGGGGACUUGAGUGCAGAAGAGGAAAGCGGAAUUCACGUGUAGCGGUGAAAUGCGUAGAGAUGUGGAGGAAC
rnacentral:rRNA from 1 species